rnacentral:rRNA from 1 species
GACGAACGCUGGCGGCGUGCCUAAUACAUGCCAGUUGAGCGCUGAAGGUUGGUACUUGUACCAACUGGAUGAGCAGCGAACGGGUGAGUAACGCGUGGGGAAUCUGCCUUUGAGCGGGGGACAACAUUUGGAAACGAAUGCUAAUACCGCAUAAAAACUUUAAACACAAGUUUUAAGUUUGAAAGAUGCAAUUGCAUCACUCAAAGAUGAUCCCGCGUUGUAUUAGCUAGUUGGUGAGGUAAAGGCUCACCAAGGCGAUGAUACAUAGCCGACCUGAGAGGGUGCACGGCCACAUUGGGACUGAGACACGGCCCAAACUCCUACGGGAGGCAGCAGUAGGGAAUCUUCGGCAAUGGACGAAAGGCUGACCGAGCAACGCCGCGUGAGUGAAGAAGGUUUUCGGAUCGUAAAACUCUGUUGGUAGAGAAGAACGUUGGUGAGAGUGGAAAGCUCAUCAAGUGACGGUAACUACCCAGAAAGGGACGGCUAACUACGUG